rnacentral:rRNA from 1 species
GACGAACGUUGGCGGCGUGCUUAACACAUGCAAGUCGAACGGAAAGGCCCUGCUUUUGUGGGGUGCUCGAGUGGCGAACGGGUGAGUAACACGUGAGUAACCUGCCCUUGACUUUGGGAUAACUUCAGGAAACUGGGGCUAAUACCAGAUAGGAGCUCCUGCUGCAUGGUGGGGGUUGGAAAGUUUCGGCGGUUGGGGAUGGACUCGCGGCUUAUCAGCUUGUUGGUGGGGUAGUGGCUUACCAAGGCUUUGACGGGUAGCCGGCCUGAGAGGGUGACCGGCCACAUUGGGACUGAGAUACGGCCCAGACUCCUACGGGAGGCAGCAGUGGGGAAUAUUGCACAAUGGGCGGAAGCCUGAUGCAGCAACGCCGCGUGCGGGAUGACGGCCUUCGGGUUGUAAACCGCUUUCGCCUGUGACGAAGCGUGAGUGACGGUAAUGGGUAAAGAAGCACCGGCUAACUACGUGCCAGCAGCCGCGGUGAUACGUAGGGUGCGAGCGUUGUCCGGAUUUAUUGGGCGUAAAGGGCUCGUAGGUGGUUGAUCGCGUCGGAAGUGUAAUCUUGGGGCUUAACCCUGAGCGUGCUUUCGAUACGGGUUGACUUGAGGAAGGUAGGGGAGAAUGGAAUUCCUGGUGGAGCGGUGGAAUGCGCAGAUAUCAGGAGGAACACCAGUGGGCGAAGGCGGUUCUCUGGGGCCUUUCCUGACGCUGAGGAGCGAAAGCGUGGGGAGCGAACAGGCUUAGAUACCCUGGUAGUCCACGCUGUAAACGGUGGGUACUAGGUGUGGGGUCCAUUCCACGGGUUCCGUGCCGUAGCUAACGCUUUAAGUACCCCGCCUGGGGAGUACGGCCGCAAGGCUAAAACUCAAAGGAAUUGACGGGGCCCCGCACAAGCGGCGGAGCAUGCGGAUUAAUUCGAUGCAACGCGUAGAACCUUACCUGGGUUUGACAUGGAUCGGGAGCGCUCAGAGAUGGGUGUGCCUCUUUUGGGGUCGGUUCACAGGUGGUGCAUGGCUGUCGUCAGCUCGUGUCGUGAGAUGUUGGGUUAAGUCCCGCAACGAGCGCAACCCUUGUUCACUGUUGCCAGCACGUUAUGGUGGGGACUCAGUGGAGACCGCCGGGGUCAACUCGGAGGAAGGUGGGGAUGACGUCAAGUCAUCAUGCCCCUUAUGUCCAGGGCUUCACGCAUGCUACAAUGGCUGGUACAGAGAGUGGCGAGCCUGUGAGGGUGAGCGAAUCUCGGAAAGCCGGUCUCAGUUCGGAUUGGGGUCUGCAACUCGACCUCAUGAAGUCGGAGUCGCUAGUAAUCGCAGAUCAGCAACGCUGCGGUGAAUACGUUCCCGGG